rnacentral:tRNA from 1 species
GCCCGGCUGGCUCAGUCGGCAGAGCACGUGACACUCGAUCUUGAGGUUGUGAGUUCAAACCCCAUGUUGGGUG